CCUACGGGAGGCAGCAGUGAGGAAUAUUGGUCAAUGGACGCAAGUCUGAAUCAGCCAUGCCGCGUGCAGGAUGACGGCUCUAUGAGUUGUAACCUGCUUUUGUACGAUGGUAAACCCCGAUACGUGUAUCGGGUUGAAAGUAUCGUACGAAUACGGAUCGGCUAACUCCGUGCCAGCAGCCGCGGUAUUACGGAGGAUCCGGGCGUUAUCCGGCUUUAUUGGGUUUAAGGGGUGCGUAGGCGGUUUGAUAAGUUAGAGUUGAAAGGUCGGGGCUCAACCCCGAAACUGCCUCUAAUACUGUUGGACUAGAGAAUGGUUGCGGUAGGAGGAAUGUAUGGUGUAGCGGUGAAAUGCUUAGAGAUCAUACAGAACACCGAUUGCGAAGGCAGCUUACCAAACUAUAUCUGACGUUGAGGCACGAAAGCGUGGGUAGCAAACAGGAUUAGAUACCCUGGUAGUC
rnacentral:rRNA from 1 species